rnacentral:pre_miRNA from 1 species
UGUCCUUCACGAAUCUUUUUGCGGUCUGGGCUUGCUGUUCUCUGCUCACCCGGAAGCCCUUACCGCGCCAAAAAGCAUUUGCGGGGGGCG